rnacentral:rRNA from 1 species
GAUCCUGGCUCAGGAUGAACGCUGGCGGCGUGCUUAACACAUGCAAGUCGAGCGAAGCGGUUUCGAUGAAGUUUUCGGAUGGAUUUGAAAUUGACUUAGCGGCGGACGGGUGAGUAACGCGUGGGUAACCUGCCUUACACUGGGGGAUAACAGUUAGAAAUGACUGCUAAUACCGCAUAAGCGCACAGGGCCGCAUGGUCCGGUGUGAAAAACUCCGGUGGUGUAAGAUGGACCCGCGUCUGAUUAGGUAG